rnacentral:tRNA from 1 species
GGGAGUACGUCAACGUUGGAGAGUUGAGCCAGACUGUAAAUCUGGUGCUUCGGCUGAGCAGGUUCGAAUCCUACUACUCCCA